GAUGAACGCUGGCGGCGUGCUUAACACAUGCAAGUCGAGCGAAGCACUUGAAUUUGAUUCUUCGGAUGACGAUUCAUUUGACUGAGCGGCGGACGGGUGAGUAACGCGUGGGUAACCUGCCUCAUACAGGGGGAUAACAGUUAGAAAUGACUGCUAAUACCGCAUAAGACCACGGUGCCGCAUGGCACAGUGGUAAAAACUCCGGUGGUAUGAGAUGGACCCGCGUCUGAUUAGCUAGUGUGGGUAACGCCUACCAAGGCGACGAUCAGUAGCCGACCUGAGAGGGUGACCGGCCACAUUGGGACUGAGACACGGGCCCAAAUCCUACGGGAAGCAGCAGUGGGGAAUAUUGCACAAUGGGGGAAACCCUGACGCAGCGACGCCGCGUGAAGGAUGAAGUAUUUC
rnacentral:rRNA from 1 species